GAUGAAGAACGUAGCGAAAUGCAAUAAGUAGUGUGAAUUGCAGAAUUCAGUGAAUCAUCGAAUCUUUGAACGCACAUUGCGCCCCUUGGUAUCCCGAGGGGCAUGCCUGUUCGAGCGUCAUUUCACCACUCAAGCCUGGCUUGGUGUUGGGCGACGUCCCCUUUGGGGACGCGCCUCGAAACGCUCGGCGGCGUGGCACCGGCUUUAAGCGUAGCAGAAUCUUUCGCUUUGGAAGUCGGGGCCCCGUCUGCCGGAAGACCUACUCGCAAGGUUGACCUCGGAUCAGGCAGGGAUACCCGCUGAACUUAAGCAUAUCAAUAAGCGGAGGA
rnacentral:misc_RNA from 1 species